rnacentral:lncRNA from 1 species
GAUGGAAUGAGGCAACUCGAAGAAGAAGAGAACCAAAGUCCAAGCACAACCGGGCAAAAUUGGUCCUCUUUAGUCUUUGCUCUAUUCUCGUUACACGACAACGAGCAAAGAGGGGCAGCUGUAAUAGGCCCAAUUUGCCCGGCCCAAAUUAAAUAAUAAUAAUAAAUUAAAAAAAUUAAAAUUAAAAAAAAUUAAAGGCCCAAAUAUCCAAAAUUACAAACUAAAAUCAAACCUAUCAGACCCACCGAGCCCAAUACACUCCAGCCUAAUAACCCGAAUUACAUCAAACCCG